UACGUAGGAGGCAAGCGUUGUCCGGAAUUACUGGGUGUAAAGCGCGUGUAGGCGGCAGGCCAAGUCUGUGGUGAAAUCGCUCGGCUCAACCUGGGAAUGGCGAUGGAUACUGGCUCGCUAGAGUGCGGUAGAGGAGAGUGGAAUUCCCGGUGUAGCAGUGAAAUGCGUAGAGAUCGGGAGGAACAUCAGUUGCGAAGGCGGCUCUCUGGACCAGCACUGACACUGAGGCACGAAAGCGUGGGGAGCAAACAGG
rnacentral:rRNA from 1 species